CGAUCCCUGAGGCCAGGUCAGAUCAUUGUCCCCAAGGGUAAAGGGCUGAAUUGCGUUCCCCUCAAAACUUAUGUUCAAGACCUAACCCCCAGUCCCUGUGAAUGGGACCUUAUUUGGAAGAAUCCUUUGCAGAUGGAAGUGAAGGACCUUGAGAUGAGACGCCCUGGAUGCAGCAAACCUACCAGCACAGUCGAACUUGCCUCGGCGCCAACACAGCUUAACCUUCAGGGCCCCUCACUUGCGAAGACCCCCUUCUGCAGCCCAGUUCCUGUUUGCGUAUUCCUUUUGUCAAAGGGGCCCCCUCCGCAGAUGGGGAAAGUAUUGGGUCCCACACACUCUGGCUCCCUCCCUGUUGCCACCAGGGUACAGCACACAGCCUGCAGUAUAGACGCUUCCGUGGGUUUUCUGUCAUCUGAACAUCCACCCAGCCAGUCCUCCGUGUCUUCAGCCAAGCUGGAUUAUCGAGUCCCUGCUGUCUCGGGAUGUAACUUGGAAAGAGAACCAGAGACAAUUUGGAGGCAAAGUAAAUGGGCUGCAGCAAGAUGCGCAUGAAGAAAGAGAGAGGCUGAAAGGGGAACCUGAGCAGAGAGUGGUUGUUCUACCUGGAAAUCAUGACAGCCCCACCAAGGAGAUAACCUCCAGUCUGGGCUUUUAAGGAUGGGUAGGAGUUCGCCAGGAGACAAGGGGGAGGACAGCUUAGGUCGGGGGCACUGUGCGGGCAAAGGUGUGGGACAGCCCCUGGCCCUGGGGCAGCAGUGUGCGACAGCCUGCCUGGCCCAUGGGGCCUGCAGGAUGAAGAGAGAGGGAAGGGCCGGGGCUGGGCCUGGAGUCCUGGGGCAGGGAGAAGUAACAGGUGUGAGGUCCGCAAACGUGGCAGCUUAAUAUGAGAAGAAUCUCCUUCCUCUGAAGGCUGGGGCAGGGCGUGGGGGUGAGGUGUUUCCAGGCCCCUUCCAGCUGCUGGCUGUUGUGGCAGUUCCAUUGUCCAGCCCCUUGCAGCUGCACCCUCCAGUCUCUGCCUCCCUCAUUACAGGACCUUCUCCCUGUGUCUCUCUGGGUCCCUUCGCCUUUUUUUUUUUUCCAGCUGCACCCACAUCAGGCAGAAGUUCCCAAGCCAGGGGUCGAAUGCGCUCCACAUCUGUAAGUAACCAGAGCCACUGCAGUGACAACGCCAGAUCCUUAACCCACUGGGCCACCAGGGAACUCCCCUUCUCCUCUUCUUAUGAGGACACCAGCCAUAGUAGAGACGUUACUAAUCAGGUAAUUCAAUUACAUCUGCAAGGACACCAGAGUAUUUCCAAGUAAGGUCACGUACACAGGGGCCUGGGCUCAGGGCUUCAAUGACCUUUCUGGGGACACAGUUCAACCCACAACAGGGAGGAGGAACCACAGGACUUGGUACUGAUUAGAUGGACCUUAUGGCCUGAAUGGUCUACACGGCCUCCCUCCCACGGCACAUGUUGAAAUCCUGAUAGCCUUGUGACCGCGUCGGAGACAGGGCCUUUAGGAGGUGAGGACCGCGGCUGUCUGCAAGCCAGGAAGAGAGCUCUCAGCAGAAACCUCGUGCUGCCAAAACCUUGAUGUUCCAGCCUCCAGAACCAUGAGAAGAAAGUUUCUGUCCUUAAGCCCCCAGUGUGCGGCAUUUUAUCACGGCAGGCUGAGCUAAGACAAUGGGGUUGGGGCUGGAUGAGCAGGCAGCAGAGCGGAACUGAGGAGGAAUUCCCCAGGCUUGGAGGAAGCUCUGACCCACAGGUGCUGGGUCCCGAUGGCCCGGCCAGGAGCUGAGGUUUUAGGGAGGAACUGGACUCGGCCCAAGGCUUCCAGGAGCUGCAGGUCAGGCAGGGAGUCAGGAAGGGGCCCAGGCCUGCCAGGUACAAUGAUGCAGGUGGUGGCUCAGGGACAAGGGGCCAGGACAAUCGAAGCGGCCCCAAGGGGCAGGGAGGCCCCAGGAAGGGGCCAUCAGAACAGUCAAGAACCCGGUCGUUGGCACUUCCUCCGGCCUAACUACUCAGCGUUGUCUCUGCAGCAGCUCUGGAUCAGUCCCUGGCCUUGGAACUUCCACAUGUCGAGGGUGCAGCCAAACACUUUAAAAAAAGAACUCUUGCCUGCUCUGACUGAUGGCUCCCAGGCCAGGGAUCAGAUACGAGCUGCAGCUGCAACCUGCGCUGCAGCUGCAGCAACGCUGGAUCCUUCAACCCACCAUUCAUUCUUAUGCCGCUUAAAUGUCACCUCCACUACGUGCAGAAGCUCGAUGGACUUGAGCACAUAGAUCGGGCAACAUUUGGGGGGUUUGGCCUCACAGAUGGUCGGCUCUCUGGGUUGGCAAGUUCCUGCCUGGCUUCCUUUGCUGUUGUCACGGAGUUGCCGUUGCCAUGGCGUCUGUGUGUGCACGGGGGACCAUCGCGCAUCUCCUCAGCUUCGGGAGCACGCAUCCAGAGCCUGGGAAGACUGCGGAGAGAGAAGAAGGAGGCGUGGCGUGUGGGAGGGAGUCCACCUGGGCGCCUAGUGUUGACGGAGCCGAGAAAAGAGGGGUGGUACUGUGCCGCCCCUGAACCAGAAGAGAGGGAUGGAGGCAGAGGUGCCUGCAGGGCCUGCCGGGCCCUCAGCUGUAGAGGCCCGGGGAGGGGGGGUCAACCGAGGGUCUUCUAUCUGGCCUUCUGCUGCCCCUCCUUCGCAACCACUUCCUGCCACUGUCCCAAAGUCACGGCAAAUGCAGCCCAGGAGUGAAAUACUGCCGAUUUAACCUGUGCCUCUGAUAAAUAAAUGAACAAGUGUUUAAGGUUCUGCCUGUGAUGCUCUCUUCCCAGAGUUUUAGGUGGCCAGCUCAUUCUCAGUAGUCUGGGUUUUGCUCAAAAUGUAUCUUUUUUUUUUUUUUUUUUUUUUUUGCUUUGCUUUUUAGGGCAUAUAGAAGUUCCCAAGCGAAGGGUUGAAUCAGAGCUUCAGCCACCAGCCUCCACCAGAGCCAUGUCUGCAACCUACACUGCAGCGCAUGGCAGUGCCAGAUCCUUAACCCACAGAGCGAGGCCAGGGAUUGAACCUGCAUCCUCAUUGUUACAGGUGGGGUUCAUUACCGAUGAGCCACAAUGGGAACGCCCCAGAAGUUAUCUUUAGAGAAGGGCCUUUUCUGAGCCCCUAUCUGUCUGCCAGAGCCCUUUGCUUUCUCUCUCAGCAGUGUGCAGUGCCCAGAACGAUCUACCUGAGCUGCAGGCAUGUGUGUACCGUGUGGCAGGUACGCGUGUCACUAGCUCGUCGCAAGCACUCAUCACGUUGCAUGCGUACGCGGUGACCAGGCGUGUUCCGGAAUCACGGUAGAAUCACAGUGUGAGUCCAUUGGAGAGAGAUUUUUUUACUGCUGCGUGACCCUGGGAGAGUCCCCUAGGCCGAGGUCCUGGUCUGUAAAAGGGAGGUUGCGUGAUUAUUGAGAGAAGGUGGCUCUAAAGCAUCCCCCGAAGCCCCUCACAGAGUUCACCCCGCCUGGUCUCACCUUGCCCUGAGAAGCUGGCCGAGCUGGGCUCCAGCCUCCCACUCCCCAGGAAGGGAAGAGUCUGGAGCCCGUGGUGGUCAAGGGGAGCUGGGAGGGACUUGUCUGCGGGGAAGGAGCUGGGAGGCCCAGCGGGGGCGGGGGGCUGCCUCUGUGGGCUCCCUGCCUUCCCUCCCUCCUGGCCGGGGCUCCUUCCAGGGCUCUGCUGAUUGGGCACCAGGACCAGGGCCUUACCCUGGCUCUCCCAGGGACUGGGGCCAGGACAGGGCACAGGAAAGCCUGGGGAAGGGCAGGACUGGGGCCUCUGGGCCUGCCUUCUCCAGAGCUGUCUUCCCUCAGGGGCAGCGGGCCCUCCAUGGACCUCAGGGGCCCUGGGGUUGCUCUGCCUCCUCCCGGACCUGUGGCUGUGCGCCAGCCCAGAGCUCGGCUUCCUCCCCUGGGUCUCCCAUGCCUGCUGCUCACUCAGGGCUCCUCCUGCCUUUCAACUUCUGCUCCCACCACCACCUCCAGCAUUGUCUCCCUGUCCCCAGUCCAAAUUCCUGGGCAGAUCAUCUGGCCAGCUGGCC
rnacentral:lncRNA from 1 species